UACGAAGGGGGCUAGCGUUGUUCGGAUUUACUGGGCGUAAAGGGCGCGUAGGCGGUGCGAUAAGUCAGGCGUGAAAGCCCCGGGCUCAACCCGGGAAUAGCGCUUGAUACUGUUGCGCUUGAAUCCAGGAGAGGAUGGCGGAAUUCCCAGUGUAGAGGUGAAAUUCGUAGAUAUUGGGAAGAACACCAGUGGCGAAGGCGGGUUCUCUGGGCCUUACCUGACGCUGAGGAGCGAAAGCGUGGGGAGCGAACAGG
rnacentral:rRNA from 1 species